GCUGGUCUGCUACAAAAUUAGGUAUAAUUUCGAUUCAUUCACGUUGGAUGGCUGCUGUUGUGUUGGCUGUUGUCAUUUUUUUUUUAUUUGACAAUCUAAGGAAAGGAGGUCAGUGUUGACUAAGUAGUCAGAUAUCCCGUGUUUUAGAAAUUGUUGUGGCACACCAGUGUGCCGCGGCACACAGGUUGAAAACCCUUGACCUGGAGCAUGCUGUCCUUCAUGUAAAAACAUAAGGAAAGCCUACAGAGAUCCACUCGAUUUUGCAAAAGGCUAUGGGAAAGAUAAAGCAAAAGCUAAUGGGAUUGGUUACCUACAGGAAGCGAAGUAGAAAUGCAGUGUGAAAGUGGGGGAACAGUGGAGGGAGGAGCGGGGUGCAGAGGGGGAGACCCUUCUUCAAGUACUCCCUUUUGUGUACUUCUGACUCUUAGCAACACUGUCCUGUUUCACACACCCCAUAAGUAAAUACAUAAAAUCAAGAUGUAGGGAACCCAGAACGUUAUACAAACCAUGAAAAAUGAAGUGAAACGUCUUGCAAAUGAAUAGCAUAACUA